rnacentral:rRNA from 1 species
GACGAACGCUGGCGGCGUGCUUAACACAUGCAAGUCGAACGAGUGGCGAACGGGUGAGUAAUACGUGAGUAACCUGCCCUCUUUUUGGGAUAAGCCUUGGAAACGGGGUCUAAUACCGGAUAAAGGGGGAUGGUCUCGGGGCCUAUCAGCUUGUUGGUGGGGUGUGGGCCUACCAAGGCGGUGACGGGUAGCGGGCUGGAGAGGGUGACCGGCCACAUUGGACCGGGGAUACGGCCCAGACUCCUACGGGAGCCGGCAGUGGGGGAUAUUGCACAAUGGGCGAAGGCCUGAUGCAGCGAGGCGGGUUGGGGGUUGAGGGCUUUCGGUUUUUAAACCUCUUUCGCUAUCAAAGGGUAGGUGGAGAAGAAGCGCCGGCUAACUACGUGCCAGCAGCCGCGGUAAUAC